UACGUAGGGGGCAAGCGUUGUCCGGAUUUAUUGGGCGUAAAGGGUUCGUAGGCGGUGCGGCAAGUUGGGAGUGAAAUCUCUGGGCUUAACCCAGAGGCUGCUUCCAAAACUGCUGUGCUUGAGUGUGGGAGAGGCGCGUGGAAUUGCAGGUGUAGCGGUGAAAUGCGUAGAUAUCUGCAGGAACACCCGUGGCGAAAGCGGCGCGCUGGACCACUACUGACGCUGAGGAACGAAAGCUAGGGGAGCAAACAGG
rnacentral:rRNA from 1 species